AAGAGUUGCAAAACUCCAACCCCUGUGAACCUUACCUUUACUGUUGCUUCGGCGGUUGGCACCGGCGCCCAGAUGGGCCUGGAGGUCGCCGCCGGAGGUUUGAAACCCUGAAUUUUAGUGUAUCUCUGAGAAAGAAAACAAAAUAAAUUA
rnacentral:misc_RNA from 1 species